CCAAUAGCGUAUAUUAAAGUUGUUGCAGUUAAAAAGCUCGUAGUUGAAUUUCGGGGUCAGUAGGUUGGUCGUGCCACCGGUACGUACUGGUCUCACUGAUUCCUCCUUCCUGAUGAGCUGUAAUGCCAUUAAUUUGGUGUUGCAGGGAAUCUGGACUGUUACUUUGAAAAAAUUAGAGUGUUUAAAGCAGGCUAACGCUUGAAUACAUUAGCAUGGAAUAAUGAAAUAGAACUUUCGAUCCUAUUUUGUUGGUUUCUAGGAUUGACGUAAUGAUUAAUAGGGAUAGUUGAGGGCAUAAGUAUUCAAUUGUCAGAGGUGAAAUUCUUGGAUUUAUUGAAGACUAACUACUGCGAAAGCAUUUGCCAAGAAUGUUUUCAUCAAUCAAGAACGAAAGUCUGAGGUUCGAAGGCGAUCAGAUACCGCCCUAGUUCAGACCGUAAACGAUGCCAACUAGCGAUCCGAGGGCGUUAAUUUAUGACUCCUCGGGAAGCUUCCG
rnacentral:misc_RNA from 1 species